UACGUAGGGGGCGAGCGUUGCCCGGAUUCACUGGGCGUAAAGGGCGUGCAGGCGGUCUGUUAAGUCUAGGGUGAAAGCUCCCGGCUCAACUGGGAGAGGUCCUUGGAUACUGGCGGACUUGAGGGAGGCAGAGGAAAGUGGAAUUCCCGGUGUAGUGGUGAUAUGCGUAGAUAUCGGGAGGAACACCAGUGGCGAAGGCGGCUUUCUGGGCCUUACCUGACGCUGAGACGCGAAAGCGUGGGGAGCGAACCGG
rnacentral:rRNA from 1 species